CGGCAACAGCUCAAAUUUGAAAUCUGGCCUCUCGGGGUCCGAGUUGUAAUUUGUAGAGGAUGUUUUGGGUACCGCCCCGGUCUAAAUUUCUUGGAACAGAAUGUCAAAGAGGGUGAGAAUCCCGUAUGCGGCCAGGUGCCUACGCUCAUGUGAAGCUCCUUCGAC
rnacentral:rRNA from 1 species